CAAGAACAGAGCACCGCCGCUGCCGGCUACGUCUGCAGCCGGUAGAGGAACUUCCCGACUCCCGGCCUGCAAGCUAACGCUGCAGGCAAGGUUGCCUCACGAAACAGCAAGUGAGGGCAUCUCUUCGGUAACGGAGAGAUGACUACAACCGCAACAGAAAGCAAUCCCGCCAGCGGCCUGCCCUAGGGCAGGUGCGGGUAAGGGCUGAAACGGUGGGGUAAGAGCCCACCAGCAGGCAUAGUAAUAUGUCUGGCUAGGCGAGCGUGCAACCGGGAGCAAGGCGAGUGGGUCGGGCCCGAGGGCUGACCUCGGCUCGGUCUCGUCGCAGUGAGCGCCGGUGAAGCCGGGUAACACCCGACAGGCCAGGCCUCACCACCCCCGUCGGGGGUGAGACAGAUGGCGGUGACAGGCGUCUUACGCCUGUUAACAGAAUCGGGAGUACUUCUGUUCUUGCCGA
rnacentral:RNase_P_RNA from 1 species